rnacentral:rRNA from 1 species
GACGUAGGGUGCAAGCGUUGUCCGGAUUUACUGGGCGUAAAGCGCGCGUAGGCGGCUCGUUAAGUGUGGAGUGAAAUGCCGGGGCUCAACCCCGGAACUGCUUUACAUACUGGCGAGCUUGAGGGAUGCAGAGGUUUGUGGAAUUCCUGGUGUAACGGUGAAAUGUGUUGAUAUCAGGAGGAACACCCAUGGCGAAGGCAGCAAACUGGGCAUCAUCUGACGCUGAGGCGCGAAAGCUAGGGGAGCAAACAGG